rnacentral:rRNA from 1 species
AAUGAACGCUGGCGGCAUGGAUUAGGCAUGCAAGUCGAACGGGAAACCCUUCGGGGGUUCUAGUGGCGAAAGGGUGAGUAACACGUGAGCAACCUGCCCCCAAGUCCGGAAUAAGCGGUGGAAACGCCGUCUAAUGCCGGAUGUCGAACAGCCCCCGCCUGGUGGCUCUUCGAAAGAUUUAUCGCUUGGGGAUGGGCUCGCGCCCCAUUAGCUGGUUGGCGGGGUAAUGGCCCACCAAGGCUACGACGGGUAGGUGGACUGAGAGGUCGGUCACCCACACUGGGACUGAGACACUGCCCAGACUCCUACGGGAGGCUGCAGUCGAGAAUCUUCCGCAAUGGGCGAAAGCCUGACGGAGCAAUGCCGCGUGAGGGAAGAAUGCCUUCGGUUGUAAACCUCUGUCACCCGGGACGAAAUUUGACGGUACCCGGGAGAGGAAGUCACGGCUAACUACGUGCCAGCAGCCGCGGUAACACGUAGGUGGCAAGCGUUAUUCGGAUUUACUGGCGUAAA